GCCCGCGCGGGGCCACCCCUCCCCCCUCUGGCAGGGGAAAGGAGUCAGGGAGCUUCGCCAGCUUGGCUUUGUGCCCUUGUGAGAAAGGAGAGUGGAAGCCUCAGAGCACACAGAGAUCCAUCUAGCCCUGAUCUCUGGUACAAAACACUAUCUGUUGGUUGGAACGUAGGGGCAUAGAAGAACCUACUGCUUUUGGUCCUAAGAGCAGCAGAGCAGCAUCCAGGACAGCCAACCUCCUCAGUGGUGGUGCCAACUACAGCCCCUCUUAGAGUUGUGCUGGACCUACCUUUGCAUCACUUCAUGGAGCUGAGAUGGAUAUUUCAGACCCUCUUGGUGAUGAGAGUCCUGUCUGGACACUUGCCAAUGUUCAGGAUGCUUUAAUGUAAACACUGGACUCACCUGGAGGAUGUCCCCAUGUAAACCAACUAUACAAGCUCAGAUUUUUCAUAAGCUGGCCAGACCUCUUGAAGCAGUCCAAAGAAUUUUGCAUUAAUGUAUGGGAAGAGACUUAAUCUACUUUUACAUCCAUUUUCAAUAAAACACAAUUUUCUCCAAAA